UUUUGCCAUGAGGUAUCUGAUGCUCACCCUGAGACAAAUGGCUGAGUGUCUCGUUAAAGUGGCAAACAUUAAUAAAACAGGCCUUGCGACACUGGUUGCUCACGCAAUGGGCUUCCUGUUACUAUUUUCCUGUUAAUAUGA